GAUCAUGGCUCAGAUUGAACGCUGGCGGCAGGCCUAACACAUGCAAGUCGAACGGUAACAGGAAACAGCUUGCUGUUUCGCUGACGAGUGGCGGACGGGUGAGUAAUGUCUGGGAAACUGCCUGAUGGAGGGGGGAUAACUACUGGAAACGGUAGCUAAUACCGCAUAACGUCGCAAGACCAAAGAGGGGGACCUUCGGGCCUCUUGCCAUCGGAUGUGCCCACGAUGGGAUUAGCUAGUAGGUGGGGG
rnacentral:rRNA from 1 species